AGCCUAAAGAUAAUACUAUUUUAGGUUAAACCUGCCCAAUGUGUUAUUAUUUUAAUGAAUGGCCGCGGUACUUUGACCGUGCUAAGGUAGCGCAAUCAAUUGGCUUUUAAUUGGAGCCAGGUAUGAAUGGAAUUACGUGGUUUAGCUGUCUCUAAGCUAAUAUAUUGAAAUUACUAUGCAGGUGAAAAAGCCUGUUGAAAGAAAAAGGACGAGAAGACCCUUAGAGUUUUACUUACAUAGAAUAUGUUUUCUGUUCAGUUUUGUUGGGGCAACAAAGGAGCAGGAUAAAUUAAUCUCCUUAUUUUAAUACUAACCGAUUAUAAUAAAAAUGUAUAAACUACCUUAGGGAUAACAGCAUAAUUUUAAAAAUAAGUUUGUGACCUCGAUGUUGGACUAGGAAAUUUAAAGGCUAGCCGCCUUUAAAGAAAGUUCUGUUCGAACUAUUAUUCCU
rnacentral:rRNA from 1 species